CACCCGGGCCCCCGGGAUGUGCUGUCAUAUCCCGGGAAUGUGCUUCCUGGACACGCUGCAUCCACCUCCCUCUUGCCCAUCCUGCAGGGACAGCCUCCCUCGCUGCUCUGGCCAAGGCUGCUCCAUGGGGAGGCACAGCCUCAUGCUGGGGACCAGGGGAGCACAGAAGGACCAACACCAAAGGGCAAGACCUCCUUUUCACUGUGUUUUGGAGGAGCACAGCUGCCUGCAGCUGCAGCAAAGAGGCUGGGUCUCACUCAAUAUGGUUUGGAGGCUGCAGAGCUGCAUAGCAUCAUCUAUCACAGAAUGCUCACGAGAACUGCUGAUGUACCAAGAAUCUCAAGAGGCCAUAAAUCACCCUAAAUAGCCCAAGCCUGUGGGAGCCCCAUUUCUUUGCUCUGGAAUCUGCCAAGGCAGCUCAUGAAAUCAGAUGAGCUUCCUGGAGAUCUGGAGGCAGGGAAUGAAACCACUUCUCCACCCUCCAGCUCAGGAGUCUGGGAGCAUGUCCUGCUAACCAGGAACAGUCCUGAAGACCUGAAUACCAAACUGCUCCUUUGCAAUGACCACUCUUUCCCAGAUCACGUGGUGUUUGCUGAUUCACACCUGCCCUACUACAGAACAUCUCACCUCUUAACCAGCCCAUCUUUCCUCCCUGAAUUGCACAUCAGCACAGAACUGGAAGAAAGCUUCGAUGAAGGCAAGGCUGACAUUAAGCAGGAUGAGAAAGUCAGUUACCCAGCUGUCUCCACAGGGUAUUUUCCAUAUUACAGAAUGCAUGAAGAGCUUCUUGGUCAACCACUCACACAUGGAUUAAAUGCAGAGGAAAAAAGGCCCAAUAACGAUGGGAAAGAUGAAAUCGAAGGAGAUGCUGAGUCAGUAAGUCCAAGGGCAUCUGCUAAAUUGCUCCCUGAGGUUGCACAGUCAGGGACUGGGAGUGCUGACCCCACCAAUCUCAGUACCUCCUGCUUGCCCUGGGGCUUUGCUGUAGCUGAAUCAGACACAGAGAUGUGCUAUGUGUUGCUAUUUCAUGUUCUUUUAGUGGAGGUCAUGCACAAAGAAAUGCAGAAUUUGUGCAAGCAGUGUCUUUGCAUGAACACAUUCUUGCAGGGCAGGAACAGACAUAACUGAGGGGAAAAAGCUCCAAAUAAGCCAAAGGCAAGAGUGGGAGCCCUUGUAGCUGCCUUUAGACAUGUGUGGUGGGAUGUCCCUGCUGUCUGAGGGAGUCACUGUGGUUCCCUCUACCAUGGGAGCCUGUUUUGAAGUCUACGUGGUUAAAUUUGGUUAAAUACCUGUAAAUUAGG
rnacentral:lncRNA from 14 species